UAAUCAUAUGCUUGUCUCAAAGAUUAAGCCAUGCAUGUCUAAGUACAAGCCGCUUUAGCGGCGAGACCGCGGACGGCUCAUUAAAUCGGUUAUGACUCCACUGGGGCCCGACUCUCCACGUGGAUAACGUGCGGUAACUCCGGUGCUAAUACAUGCAACAAGGCUCCGACCGCGGCUUCGGCCGCGGGAAGGGCGCACUUAUUAGGCGAAAACCAAUCGGCUUCGGCCGUUGGUGGACGACACCCGAGUAAUUGCCGCCGAUCGCACGGCCUCGAGCCGGCGACGCCUCCACUGAGUUUCUGAUCUACCAUGCUGUCGACGGUUGGUGCUAUGCCAACCGUGGCGUUAACGGAUAACAGAGAAUCUGGGUUCGAUUCUGGAGAGGCCGCAUGAGAAACGGCGACCGCUUCCAAGGAAGGCAGCAGGCACGCAAAUUACCCACUUCGGACACCGAGAGGUAGUGACGAACAAUACCGAUGCGGUGCACUUACGUGUCGCCGUAAUCGGAAUGAGUACACUUCAAAAUCCUUUAACGAGGAUCCACUGGAGGGCAAGCCUGGUGCCAGCAGCCGCGGUAAUUCCAGCUCCAGCAGCGUAUAUUUAUAUUGCUGCGUUUAAAAAGCUCGUAGUUGAAGCGUCAGACGCGGGGAGGACGGACGGCCGCACUGGUCGCUUCUCGUCCGACCGA
rnacentral:rRNA from 1 species